GACGAACGCUGGCGGCGUGCUUAACACAUGCAAGUCGAACGAGACGAUUUAGAAGCUUGCUUUUAUUGAGUCGAGUGGCAAACGGGUGAGUAACGCGUAGACAACCUGCCCGCAAAGAUGGGGACAACAGUCCGAAAGGACUGCUAAUACCGAAUGUUGUAUCUCCUCCGCAUGAAACGAGAUAUUAAAGAUGGCCUCUACUUGUAAGCUAUCGCUUUGCGAUGGGUCUGCGUCUGAUUAGCUAGUUGGAGGGUAACGGCCCACCAAGGCGACGAUCAGUAGCCGGUCUGAGAGGAUGAACGGCCACAUUGGGACUGAGACACGGCCCAGACUCCUACGGGAGGCAGCAGUGGGGAAUCUUCCGCAAUGGACGAAAGUCUGACGGAGCAACGCCGCGUGAACGAUGAC
rnacentral:rRNA from 1 species